rnacentral:piRNA from 1 species
UGAACACAUUUUAAAAACGUGCCUCGAAGA